ACGGAAGGCAGCAGCUAAGAAUAUUCCGCAAUGGACGAAAGUCUGACGGAGCGACGCCGCGUGGAUGAUGAAGGUCGAAAGAUUGUAAAAUCCUUUUGGAAGUGAGGAAUAAGCAUUGCAGGGAAUGGCAGUGUGGUGACUGUAGCUUCUGAAUAAGCAACGGCUAAUUACGUGCCAGCAGCCGCGGUAACACGUAAGUUGCGAGCGUUGUUCGGAAUUAUUGGGCGUAAAGGGCAUGUAGGCGGUUUUGCAAGCUUGGUGUGAAAUUCCGGAGCUCAACUCCGGAACUGCGUUGAGAACUGCAUAACUAGAGUCACUGAGGGGCAAUCAGAAUUCCUGGUGUAGGGGUGAAAUCUGUAGAUAUCAGGAAGAAUACCAAUGGCGAAGGCAGGUUACCAGCAGAUGACUGACGCUGAGGUGCGAAGGUGCGGGGAGCAAACAGGAUUAGAUACCCUGGUA
rnacentral:rRNA from 1 species